UCCUUCGAGCCGCACAGUCCAAUCCCCAUCGAUGCUGAGGAUGAAUCGAGCCGGCAGACAAGAGCAUCGGUGCGGCCGGUUCGAUUCUGUACUGUCGCACGCGCAGGUGCGGCCGAGCCACCACAGAGCGCCAUCGAUGCCGACGAUGAGUCGAGCCAGCGGACAGAUCGGUGUGGCCGGUUCGAUUCGGUUUCCCGUUCGAUCUGCGUAACGAUUCCAUUGUUUCUUCUUACCGCUCCUAUCUUCUUCCUCCUAUUCCAUUUGGUUCUUCCGAUCUGAAUAUUGCUCGAAAAGAUAGAGGACUAGGAUCUCGUUUUGUUCACAAAUUGCGUUCAUGUUUUUUUUGCAGGAUCAAUUGAUACGCAGGAUUACAAGAAGUUUACCGUGGUGUGAUUGGCCGAACAGUGAAUCUCCAGUUGUGGUAGCACUUCCUGAAUGUAUAUCAUAUCCUCCCUCUCUCUCUCUCUUCACUCCAAAUUCCUGUCAGAAGUACCGGUCUGAUUGGUGCUACAACAGGGCAUAUACAAGCUGGAGAUAUUUGGAUGUUCUAAUUUACUGCCAUAUGCCGCUGAUUUUAGAAGAAAUUUUAUAAGUUAUCACUUUAGUUAACUUGCUGUAGGAUAAUUAUGUGAUGCAACUAGACAUGGUACUGAAUAAUCAGAAUUGUACUUUUCGGUGGUUGAAUAGAAGCAUACAUAUUAUUAGACGUGAUGAUGUACUCCUGUGAGGCUAAUUGGCUAUUUAUUUCUUUUUCUUUCUACUUUGAACACAAAUGUAGUUCUUGUAGAGCUGAGUUUGAUGGACAAUCUCCAAGAUUCACAAACCACAAGAGCUACGAGAGUUCACAUUCAGGUUUACUUUGCUUCUCCAUGGCUACCACUGUGGCAUUGCUCAUUGAGUUUGAUACAAAUUGUGGUUUAGAUUAUGAAUAAGCCCUUUUUAGGAUCCUUAGUGCCUAUAUAAAUAUGUUCUUGCUUAUAGUAAUAUAAUACUGCAAUGGCUAAGUUAAGGUGAUGCUUGUGCUUUUCUUUCUAUAUAUUAUAUGCAGGUUCAGUUCGUCUCCGCCAAGGUACUGCUUGUACGACUGUCUUGAUGAUUGACAACGGAUAAAGAAUGGACGUUGGUGUGGGUAAAUUAAUGCAGCCAGUUUUGGUUGUGAGGUUCUAUAUGGAGAAAUGGCUAGACCUAAGCUCUCAUCAAACUUUUUGGCGGCACCUUUGAUGAAAUUAUUUGAGAUCCCAACAACCACUUUGUUUCUCUAUUGCCUUCAAGCUUAUCUUGCUUUCCCUCUCCCUGCUCCCAUUCACUUAUCUAUGUUAUUAUUGUUUUGUUGAUGUCACUAAUUUCUAUACCAAUGGACACGGCAAUAUGCAACGAGCCGGAGAGUGAAAUUAGAAAGAAUUAAGUCAAAAGAACCGACCGAGUGAUGUAAUAAUAAAAUCAGUACACAAAUGGCAUUUCCAAAUUUCUGUAGAAGCAAAGUAAAAAAGGAAUGAUGUACUGUACUCGUAUUAUUCAAGGAACUAUCUCAAAAGAGAAUAUUUUAGUAAUUCCACAAUUGAAAAAUUGUAUUUGAUGGAAUUGUCAAAUAUGACCUUGAAGUAUCAAGUGUAUAGUUUGCUUUAGAAUUUGCUAAUUCAAUAUUACUUAAUUUUGCAAUUCCACAAUAUUUUUAAAUGCACUGUACACUAUUAUUCGGAAAGGUUCUUUACAUAUGAGUAGAUCACAUUAACAUUGCUGUUAUUUAUGUUGAAGCUAGACGACACGUUUCUUUAUUUUGUAAGCUGUUAUGAGAUCAAUGGUUAGGUUAAAUGAUAUGAUUAUAGUCAAAAGGGUGAUGAUUGUACAAUUUCGUGAUGUUUCUUAUACGCGUGUCGAUCACCCAUGAUAUGAUUAUAUUUAUUAAUCCAGAUGCAUUUCUGUAGUCCCAUAUCGCUAAAACGAUAUUGUUUUAUUCAUAGUAUAUAUUCCGCACUCAUUGAAAUAAACUUGGCUAAUAUGUCUUGUUUCAUAGCUAAUUUUGUACUUUCAGUUUCACAUGACUAUGACUGGAUCAUGGAUUAAGAAGCUGGUACGGCCAGACUUGGUGUUUACAUGGGUCGUUCUGAUCUAGAAACUUUUGUGCAACAGAACCAAUGUCCAUGAAAGGUGCAACUUAGUCGCUUGCAAGGAAUUUUUGGAGAGAAAUGAAACUUCUAGGUCAACUGAUUUUUUUUGUUUCCUGUGAUAAUAGUUGUUUAACUGAGGAUCCAUGUUUGUAUUCUCAUUUUGGAUAUGGACAAUGAUGUCUCUGAUAUGUUACAUUAUAAACUAUUGAAGUAUAUGACUGGAACACUGGGCGAUGCAUUUGUUGAUGUUAA